AGCGAACGCUGGCGGCAUGCCUAACACAUGCAAGUCGAACGGGACCUCCGGGUGUGCUGGCGCCAGGGGGCGUAGCGUGGCGGAAGGUGGCGUUAUGCUCGGAAUAAUACCUCGACGGGGGGGCUAAUACAGGGUAAUUUAUGCGAACAAAGGAUUUAUCGCAUUUGUAUGAGCCGGCGUUGGAUGAACUAGUUGGUAGGGAAAGAGCCUAUCAAGGCGAAGAUACAUAGCUGGUCUGAGAGGAUGAUCAGCCACACUGGGACGGAGACACGGCCCAGACUCCUACGGGAGGCAGCAGUGGGGAAUAUUGGACAAUGGGCGAAAGCCUGAUCCAGCAAUGCCGCGUGAGUGAUGAAGGCCUUAGGGUUGUAAAGCUCUUUUACCCGGGACGAUAAUGACGGUACCGGGAGAAUAAGCUCCGGCUAACUCCGUG
rnacentral:rRNA from 1 species